UGGCGACUUAGAAGCGCUCGAGGUCAACUCAACAAGAGCAAAAGUGGAUCAAUUACCAAAUGAUGUAGAGAUAUGCCAAGGUAUUUGACAUAUCACCCCAACAACAACAAUGGCUGACAAAUCACUUGGGUCAUACAGUAGACGUCCAUAAAAUACAUUAUAGGCAGAUCUCGGGGGUCAUUGAGCCUGUGGACAUUUCCAAACUUGUGCUGUAAACAGUGUAUGGCUUGACUGUGAAAAAUGCUUGCAGAAAAUUGACAGAUAUC